ensembl:snRNA LOC120094880 U7 small nuclear RNA
CAAACAUAGCUCUUUUAGAAUUUUUUCUGGCUUUCUGAUUUUAAUCGGAAAACCCAA